UUGAAGGCCAAUGCUGCAGGAGCACUUUAGGGAGGGGCAGGGGAAACUGAGGUACCAUGCUAGUCAGAGGAGGGGGCCAGGGAAUGACGGGACAGACAAGUAAGCCACCCAGGUCCCAGCUGGCCAUCCCAGGCCACGUCCCUCUCUAUCCGUGCAGGUCCUUAGAAAGGGGCAUCACCCACUGUGAAGGGUGUGGUGUGUGUGAGCCCAGGGUGGAUGCGGCCAGAGGAGUGGAUGACAGGGAAAUGUGGACCAGGGCUCUGAGGAGCAGCAUGAGGGCUGGGGCAGGGGGCUUACGUGACGGAGCACUGGGCAAAGGCCAGGUACUCGAGGAGCACAUCCAGGCCACGAUUCUCCUCAUUGAGGAACUCCUCCACCCACCUGCAGGGCACAGGGCUCCCUGAGUUCCAGCCAGUGGGGAGGUCCUGCCCAGAGUGGGCCCAGAACAGGCACAGCCAGGGCUCCAGGGCUGGCCUUCCCCUGGCAGGACACCAGCCAGCCCCAACCUCAGAAGAGCCAGUGGCACUAGAGGAUGCCAGGGGGCUCAAGCAGGAUCCAGAGCCCCACUGUGCCUUGAGGUGUGAGCAGAGGGUAGGCGGAGAGGAGGCAGGGAAGCUGCACUGGACAGCCAACCCAGAAGUGGCCCACGGGCACAGCCUAUGCAUGGGGGUUGGGGGGCAGGGAGGUGACAGCGGAGUAGCAAGAGGAAGCCCCAGGAACUACCUGGAGGCAGAACUCCCCCAGGCUCCAAAAUGGAAAUCUGAGCCCUUGCUCACCCAAUGUGGUUUGUCCUCAGGGAGAUCUCCAGCUCCCGCAGCACCUGUGUGGACUCCUGAACUCGCCUCUUAAACUGGGGACCAAGAACAGGAGAGUCUGGUGGGUGAAGCCUGGGGCCUCCCACAGUCCUGCUGAGCCCUGAGGCAGCAGCCAGCAGCCCCUGCCCUCCCCCUACGACUGGCCUUUCACGCUCAGCCUCCCCCACCACCUCCACACACCUGCCUGCAGGAUAAGCAUUCUCAGGCUCUGCGUAGCCCCAUACACACAGACAUGUGGCAUACACACAUACACGCACACGCACACAGCCAGCCACAGGGCACAUGCACAUUCAUAUAUGAAGACCCUGGCCAUGUACACACACAUAUGCAUCCAUACACAAGCACCCUGGAUACACAGAUAAGACACCAUGCAUUCAUACGUGGACACAUGAGGUACACACACACACACACACACACCCCACACCUAUACAUGAACCCAAGGGCACACAACCAUAUGUGGAUACAAAAGUACAUAGUAUACAUACAUAUCCACACACGGCCACACAGUGUGCACACACGCACGCACACACACAGUACAGUACACACAAGCAGACCUGUGGAAGCACACGCAGGGAUGCAGAGGUGCCUGCCCAGGGCCCUCUCAGUCCCCUGGAAACAUAUACACACACUCAUACACAAGCCCACCAAAGAGUUUAUUCACAUGGUUACUCUGGCUGCCCAGAGCUUAGAAGGGGUGGUGGUGGGGCAGAGAAAAAGGGGGAGACAUAUACCCCCAAGUUAGACAUCCAGUCCGCUGCUACCUUUCGGCUGACCCCACCCGUUUCCACGUAGCUUCUCAGCUUCUGGAUGUAGGCCGCUGGAGGGUUCUUGACCUGAAACCGCUCCUGGGAAAAUGGAACAGGGUGUCCAGGGAACCAGCCAGAGCUACCUCAGGCUGAAGGACCAGCCCUCGCCCCGGAAUCCCUUUCUCAGCUCUGACCCCAGGUCCUAGGCUAUCUUAAGACCCCUCUGAAAUACCAAAGAUCUAACCAAGUCACCUGCCAGGCCACUUUAAAAGACCCGAGUCCCGGACCUCUGCUCCCCACUAUGGCCUCACAAGCCACAGCCCUAGCACAGUCCUGAGGGGUAGUUUGGAGGUAUCACUUCUACCCCACACCCCACCCUGGUGGCGGGGGCAGGGGGGGUUGAGUAGAGGGUCUCAGACCUGCCAGUAGGUGGCACCUUCCCAGCUCCCCUGCCCUCCCCAGGCUGCACACCUAUCCACCCUGGAUCACACACCUGCCUUCCCCGGGUCACACACCUGCCCACCCUGGGCCACACACUAGCCCCGAGCUGCACUGGAAGGUACCUGUGCAUGUGUUUGCUCAUCUUCCGUGCUCAACAGAGCAACCCCUAACUCCCCUGCCUCCCCCAGGACUCCGAUAGCCACUCACACAGAGAAGCAGGGGCCAUAUCAGAGGGCCCUACCCAGAGGAGCUCCCAUCCUUCCCAACCCAGAUCCCUCAGCUAUGCCCAGCCACCCUCCUCAACAUCCCACUUCUCCCAGGCCUCUGAGCCCCCAACCUGAAAUGCCAGGUCAAGUAGCAGGGAUCCCUACCACAGCCCCAAAGCCUCUAAAAGCAGCUCACCGCCCUCCCUCCACGGCCCAGCCUUUACCCCCCCCCAGACUCCUGCACAGCCGGCUCAUCCCAUUCUGGUCCAUUAGCAAGAGUCAAAGGCCCAGCCUUGGCUCCCAGGGGAGGCUCCUUGCUCCCCAACUCCCCACCCCCAGCCUCCCUCCCUCACUGAAUCACUGCAGCAGCCAGGCCCCACCCUGGCCCAGCACUGGGAGAGGGGUCUUCCUUGCUACCACGGACAGCAGCCCUAGAAGCUGCAGAGACAGGGCACCCAGUGGGCCAUGAAGGUGGCAAACCCAGGUGCCUAACUAAGCACCAGGAGACAAGGAUUCUGGUUCUUGCUCUGCCGCUUGGUUACUGGUUACCUUCGGGUGGUUGCUUGGUUGACAGUAGCUCCUCUGAGGCCAAGGAAAAGAAAGACAGGGACCCUGCCCCUUCCUUCACACCUCCCAUGAAGUCAAAGAUGCCCCCUCUUCCCCAGUCCAGAGCAGGAGGGUCAACAGAGGCUGCUCCAAAAAGCUUAGCAAGGAGGGUGGUGACACGCCCCAGCUGCAUUGGCCAGCACCCUGCACUAGCCCCUGCCAGCUCUGCCGAGGGCAGACCCAGCCCUGCCAGGGACUCAUAAGGUCCCUGGGGAGGCCCAUGUCCACGAGAUGGAGAUCCUAGAGUCUUGAAGAUACCCCUAGCCCCCUCUGCAGGUGCUACACAGGCCUCUGGCAGGGUCCCCUCUCCUGCCGGCCCUAGCCUGGCCAGGGCAGGGCACCCUGAUGCCAGAAGGGGCCUGGUACCUACCUGGUCACAAAUGAGCUCCCACUUCUUCUCAUUGUCAUACUGGCUCAGCAGCUGCACUUUGUCCGGCGGCAAGUUCAUGCAGUUCUGGGGGAAGGGAGGACAAGGUCAAGACUCUGAGCCCGAGCCCAGUGUGAGGGGCAAGACAUGGGCAUUUUCAGAGAAGCCACAAGGGGUCAGCUCCCUAGGAGACCUGUCAUACACAUGACACCUGUCACCCUCUCACCUGGGAGAUAAGCGUCAGCUGAUGAGAAAACUGAGGCCCAAAGGUAGAGCACCUUGGCCUAGGCCCCAAAGCUAGAAAGUGACACUGGGAUUUGACUCGGAGUCAGCCUGACCCCGGGGCCUGGGCUCUGUCAUCCAUACACCACCUCCCUGACACAUCUGCCAUGAUGGUAAGAGCGUGGGUUCUCAACCUAACUUCCUGGGGCCUCUGGCUCCUCUGGACUCACUUCCCCACGUGCAAUGAGGGGGUAUCAUCUCUUCUUCCAUUUGGGUGGGAAGCUAACAGGAUCCACCUCCAGCCAGGCCCAAGUGCAGCCAGGCUCGGACUGGACCCCCUUCUUGCAUGCCCCCAAACACCACGUGGACUAUCACUGUAGCCUAGGGCACCAGUGUCUCACAAACACCAGAAAACCUCUUGCAAGCAUGGCAAUGGCAAUCUCCUCCUCAUCCCUCCCUUGCCCCAUCCCUCCUCAUUACUUCUGGAAGGAGGAGACCGGGACAAGCCAAGGGAACUUUUCAGGCAGGGAAUUCCAAGCAGGUGCGUCAUGGCUGCAGGGGCCAGGGGGAUUCCUGGGGAAGGUCACCCAGCCACAGGAACUGGGGACAGCCGCUGACAUGCUAGGUCUGUGGUGCUGGUAGCCCAGGCUGGGACUCCCCUCAAGAGCUAAGAAAGGUCAGCAUCGUUCUGCCUGGUCCUCCUCCCCCUCACAGGGCAGUUAUAGGGUCCUGCCCAGUGCUGCUCGCACACGGGGAUCCCUGCCCCCCUCCCCGAACUCGACUUGUCUUCCUGAUAGACACAGUAGAUGAUGCCAGUCUACCCCAAUUCGGCAAACCUCAGGUCAAAAGAAGAUCUACUAUGUGUUAGGCCCCAAAAGACAGUUCUUGCCCUCAAGGAGUUCCAUCCCUGCUGGGGACGUGGGAGUGCCCAGGGAUCCCCAGCCCAGAGUCAAAAGGCCCCUGUCACCAGCUCUGGAGGCUCAGUCUACAAGUCCUCAGUCACAUGAGCCUGAAAGGAGGCCACAGCUGGAGCACAGAGGGGCCACACCCACCCAAGGCUCCUCAGCCAGCUUCCUCUCUGGGGUGCUGGGCCUAGUUCUGGGGCUCUGGCCAGACCUCACCCCAAAAAAAUCACUGCCUUGGGUCAGUCCCAGACAACAGGAAGCUGGGUGCUCUCAGCCCCCAUUGCCCAAGCUUUCCGGCUAGAGCCCCACUUGAGAGGUGAAACUGGCUACCCACCAGGCCCCCCAGGCCAGCUGGCAAUGGGGCUACAUCAUUCUUCUCCCCAUUGUGAAAGCUAGCCCCUGGAUUAAGGAAACCGCUGCUGUCUCCUCUGUUGCACUCCCCCAAGCUGCCAAUAGCCAGCCCGGCUCGUGCCACCACAGGCCAGACUGCCCAGGCAGGGCCCUUGGAACUGGGAUGGGGUACCCGCCAUCUCUGCCUGGACGCUCACCACGCCUGGCACCGCGCUGAGCCCUCCACUCGGGGGACUGCCCCAAUCACCCCAACCAGCACCAGCAGUCCCAUCAUACAGGUGCAAGUACAGAUUAAUGACCUGCCCAAGGUUACAGAGCCCGGAAGCAGGGAGCCAGACUGGCUUUGAGCCCAGCGCUGACUCUGAACCCACUCCCACGGGCCACCCCACAGUUAUUACUGGGGAGGGGGCAGCCUCUGCUGUGGGGUCCAUCAUCCCAACAGCGGUGGAGGGAGGGCACUCCUCCGCCCCUUCCCCACCUGGGUGUGCUCAAGCCCCGGGGCUGCGCCAGCCUGCCAGACAGGCUAAAUUUAGGCUCAGAAAUCAGAAAUAGCUCUGACAGCGCUGAGCGCUAAUUAGCAGCUGUUCCUCCGCUGUGCCCACCGAUGAGCCAGGGACCCUAAGGAGCGAGGGAGGAAGCAGAGAAUGCCACUCACCCAGGGUGGAGUGACGUGCUCCCGGAAACCAGGACCACAGGCCCAGGGUCCCCAGCAAGGGGGUGGCAGCAGGGGGACAAGCAGCAGGUGGGCUGGCAGGGCCCAAAUAGGCGAGUCCAGGUGAGGGGAGGAGAAACACUUGCCUCCUGGGAGGGGACAUGGCUGGAGGAAGAAGCUGCGCUGGCUUCAAGGGACCCAGCUUCUGAGCCCACCUAGCCAACUGUCUCCCAAACCCCUCAGCCUCCUUCUCCAUAAAACAGGCACACUUCCCCCCUCUGCCUUGCAGCUCUCAGAGCUCCUGGAAAUACCCAGCAAGAAGCUGUGUUUUGAUGUAAUAAUACUCUUCAGUGAUGCACACUGUGAAGAGGCAUUUCACAGAUUGGGAGUUGGGGGGAGCCCACUGAAGACCCCAAGAGAGACACAGGCAGAGGGAGAAGCAUGCUCCUUGCAGGGAACCCAAUGCGGGACUGGAUCCUCAGACUGGGAUCACUCCCUGAGCUGAAGACAGAUGCUCAACCACUGAGCCGCCAGGCAUCCCUCAACCUUGGUUUUAGAGCUUUCAGUGUAUCUCCAAAAACAAUAAACUUUUUCCACGUUUUAAAAUUCCAGUAUAUAGGUUUUUCUGGGGCUGCCAUAGGCAAUCCCAGACUUAGAGGAGGGUCUAGGGUGACUGGCCCUGGGAUUAGGAGCUAAGAACCCCCAAAAGCUCACAGCUUCUCCCCUCGGGGUGGAAUGGUACCCAUGGCAGGGACAAGGACAAGCCAGGUGGAAGCCAGGGCAGCAGGCACUGCCCAUUCAAUCCACAAUGGUUGGGGAAUUACAGUAACAAUGAUAGAUAUUCCCCAAACGUUCACUCUGCGUUAAGUGCAAUUCCUAGUGCUUUUUAUCUACUGACUAAUUUAAACCUCAUAAAAGGGACAUCUGGGUGGCUCAGAGGUUAAGCAUCUGCCUUCGGCCCAAGGCAUGAUCCUGGAGUCCCAGGAUCGAGUCCCACAUCAGGAUCCCUGCAUGGAGUCUGCUUCUCCCUCUGCCUGUGUCUCUGUCUCUCUCUCAUGAAUAAAUAAAUAAAAUCUUUAAAAAUUUAAAAAAACUCAAAAAGAAGCUUACACAGUAAACACUAUUGUGAUCCCCAUUUCACAAAUGGGAAACUGAGGCACAGAGCAAGUAAGUCACUUGCCCAAGCUGACCUGGCUGGCAAGCAGGUGAGAAGACUCAGUUUCCUUGGAAGAAAGAGCACUGGAGACAGGGAAAAAUGUAGGUCCUAAGCCCCCAGGGGUCUUCUGCAGACAGCCUGGCCCCAGUACCCCCGUCUGAGGAACCAGGAACAGCCAGCCCCAUUUCCUGCCACCCAGCACCCUACGCUUCCUGUUGUUGCCCACACCGAGCUCUUACUCACUGGGGAACCCCCCCCCAGUACACCGUCUCUCAGAGGGAAGUGGAGGCCUCCCCACCCCCUCCCCAUGUGCACACAGCUACCGUUAGCACCACUGCCCCACCCUCCAGGAGAGGUGGGCCCUCCCUCUGGUGGUUUCCGGCCAAGGCAGUUUUCGGUCUAGGCCUCGCUGUUGCUGACCUGCAUGAUGGCAGCGAAGGCAGCCUGGCCUAUGAGGGCUGAAGUUGGUAACCUUGGUUGGUCUCGGUAACGGAGAUGGGAAGAGGGGAAAGGCACAGUCUGGAGGGCCUAGAAGGCCUCCGGUAUGCAGAGGAUCCUAUCCACUCCCAACAUCAUCCCCUUCCUCACAGUCGGGGAGAGUUUCUGGAGCACUUGCUCUAUGUCAGGGCAAACUCAAUCUUUCCACAAUCCUAGGAGGCCAGCAUAUGCCGGUAGCAUUCUCUCUCUACAUGUGGGGAAAAUUGAAGUUCAGAGAGGUUAAGGAGCUUGCUCAAGGUCACACAGGUAAUAAGUGGCAAAGACAAACCCAAUUCCCACAACAGAAUGACCCCGAAGCUCAGGAAGCUACUCUGCCUUUCCCAUUAAUAACCCUUGCCCCUCCCAGAGGCAGGCAGGCCUGAGCCACCUUCCAGGGCUCCAUGUUCCCAGGAAAAAUGCAGAGGUAGCCCCCAGAGCAGCCCCACCUGCUCCUGCCCAUCUCACCCAGGUCCUUGCCAAUUGGCCCCAGAUGUCCCUGUGAAUCAUGCCUACCACAUCCCUGGGUUUCCGGGGUCAGCACGUGCCAGCCCUGCCUGCUAAGAAUGUCAACCCACAGUUCCUGCCCAGCCCAACAUCUGCCCACAUGGCCACGGCACCAUUGAGAUCCUCCAUGUAAGACACCCCACCCCAGAGAUAAGAGGUACAGGGCCUGAGUGCCCCUACAGCUACAUGUCCCCAACUUCAUCUGUCUCAUCCCAGAGAAGGGCACUGGCCAACAGAAUGGAGUCUACCUCUGCUCUUCAGGGAAGGGGUCCAGAUGAAAGCAGGACUCCCAGGAUCUGACCUCCCCAUAUAGCCUCACCAAAUGUCUACAUCCCUGGGCACAUGCUGAGGGCCACCCAGGGUGCAAGGCCCAUUGGGCAAACUCGUCUCCAGCUGGUUUGGCCUCCGCGUGGAUCAGCAUCACUCUCAGCCUCGAGCACCACAUCCAGGCAACUUCCCCUAGUCCUCGAGUCCCAAGGUUACAGGCUCCUCCCUGACCAGACAGAUCAGAGGUGUCCUACGCUCAGCCGCUGUAAGCAUGGAACUUCUGGAAGGCCAGGAAAGAGUGCCUUGUUCAUCCCAAGCGCCAACCCUUAUAGGGAAAAGUCUACAAGGGAGACACAAGCCUUGGGCAUGGCAUAGGAGAGGCGAGAGCGUGGAGCCUGGCAGGCUAGUUUUCCCACCAUGACAGCAGGCCCAUGUCGCUGGGCAGCCAUCGCUCCUCUGCUGUUGCUAAGGCAGCAGUAGGAAACCCUGGCUCAACCUGCUUUCUUCCCACCUCCAUUUUAAGCAGGGGCACCUGUCUCUCUCACAGCCUCCUUGGAAUGGUAGCCCCCACCACCCACCCUUGCAUGGCAGAAAGGCCACUAUAGGAAAAGGGGGAGCAGGCUCCCUCUCCUACCUGGCUGUGGGCCUUGGUGGGGGUGCUCUCCACCCACAGGAUGGGUCCCACAGCCAGGAGCCAAGGACUGGUUUUGGGUCUCAGGAUCCUAUUCCCCACCAGGAACCAAAGGGCUGAGAUUAAGCAAAAGGAAGAGGGGCGCCUGGGUGGCUCAGCCGGUUACAUGUCUGCCUUCCACUCAGGUGGUGAUCUCAGGGUCCUGGGAUGGAGCCCUACAUUGGGCUCCCUGCU